rnacentral:rRNA from 1 species
GAUGAACGCUAGCGACAGGCUUAACACAUGCAAGUCGAGGGGCAGCACAGGUAGCAAUACCGGGUGGCGACCGGCGCACGGGUGAGUAACGCGUAUGCAACUUACCUAUCAGAGGGGGAUAACCCGGCGAAAGUCGGACUAAUACCGCAUGAAGCAGGGGUCCCGCAUGGGGAUAUUUGCUAAAGAUUCAUCGCUGAUAGAUAGGCAUGCGUUCCAUUAGGCAGUUGGCGGGGUAACGGCCCACCAAACCGACGAUGGAUAGGGGUUCUGAGAGGAAGGUCCCCCACAUUGGUACUGAGACACGGACCAAACUCCUACGGGAGGCAGCAGUGAGGAAUAUUGGUCAAUGGCCGAGAGGCUGAACCAGCCAAGUCGCGUGAGGGAUGAAGGUUCUAUGGAUCGUAAACCUCUUUUAUAAGGGAAUAAAGUGCGGGACGUGUCCCGUUUUGUAUGGACCUUAUGAAGAAGGAGCGGCGAACUCCGU